AUUGAACGCUGGCGGCAUGCUUUACACAUGCAAGUCGAACGGUAACAGGCCUUCGGGUGCUGACGAGUGGCGAACGGGUGAGUAAUGCAUCGGAACGUGCCCAAUCGUGGGGGAUAACGUAGCGAAAGUUACGCUAAUACCGCAUAAGCCCUGAGGGGGAAAGCAGGGGAUCGCAAGACCUUGCGCGAAUGGAGCGGCCGAUGUCAGAUUAGCUAGUUGGUGAGGUAAAGGCUCACCAAGGCGACGAUCUGUAGCGGGUCUGAGAGGAUGAUCCGCCACACUGGAACUGAGACACGGUCCAGACUCCUACGGGAGGCAGCAGUGGGGAAUUUUGGACAAUGGGCGCAAGCCUGAUCCAGCCAUGCCGCGUGAGUGAAGAAGGCCUGGUGUAAG
rnacentral:rRNA from 1 species